rnacentral:lncRNA from 1 species
UUUAUUAUCAAAUAAAUGCAUUAUAUCUUGAUUGUUAAAUAAAUACAUCAAAUUUUGAUUAGAGUAAAUUUCUUAAAAGUUAUACUUUCAACUUUAAAAGUAAUGAGGCACCUGAUUAAUCAGCCCUCGACCCAAAAAAUUUAUACUUUUAACUUUAAAAGUAAUGAGGCACCUGGUUAAUCAGCCCUCGACCUGAAAAAGUUAUACUUUCAAGUUCAAAAGUAAUGAGGUACCUGAUUAAUCAGCCCUCGACCCGAAAAAGUUAUACUUUCAACUUCAAAAGUAAAGAGGCACCUGAUUAAUCAGCCCUCGACCCGAAAAAGUUAUACUUUUAACUUCAAAAGUAAAGAGGCACCUGAUUAAUCAGCCCUCGACCCGAAAAAAGUUAUACUUUCAACUUCAAAAGUGAUUGAGACACUUGACCCUGAAAUCCUCGAUAAUACACUUUAUCUUCAAAAGUGAUGGAAGAAAUAAAAGCUACAUGAAGUCAUGAUCCAAAGGUCAUGAUACAUCAAACUGAACUGGGGGCAUAACUAAAGCCUCCAAGUAGACAAUGGCAGUAUCUCAAGCCUUUCGAACUUCCGGCUAACAGUUCCUCAAGGUCUUGGGCAGAUGAAUCAAUUUCCCGAAGCUUGGCCUUCAAUCUAUCCAUGACGUCCUGAAGCUCCUGAGGCCCUUACAUAAAGAAAGUCAUUCUCAUGAGGACGUGAAGUGACCUCUGAACAAAGUGCAAUAACAUGAUAACUAAAAGUAAAGAGAUCCAGCUUAGCACGGAAGGGAGACAUGUCAAGGCCCAAGAAGGAUCGAGAAGUCAUCAACUUCACAACUAAACACCUCUAAGUCCUCUGCUCACAGAUAAUAGAGAGAGACUGUGCAUUUCGAGAAUAAGUCUCAGAAGAUAAUCUAGCAAGAAAAUCUGGAGAAGGGCCCUAUGAAGAUGUAUUCGAUCUAGUAUAUAGGGGAACCAAGCUAGGACACGACCAAGAUUCAAGUGAAAAGAAAAAGGAAAAAGAGAGUGAAGGAAGAGGCAGUCUUCUAGGGUUUGGCCCCUAGGGUUCGAACACCUACGGAGGCUCUCCCCUCUUACCUUUUACUUCUCGUUGAUCAAUGUUCCAGAAUGAAGUCGCUCAGGGUUCGAGUACCUAGAGGAAAGAUCCCCUUCAUCUCUUGUUCACCCCAAUUUGAAGUAUGUUCACUCGGUGCCUUCUCGAUGACUUCUUAAUUUUGAAAAUGAGAGAACUUCCAAAAGAAAAUAAUAUUCGGAAGGAUAAGAUAGAAGAUUUUUUUCCAAGAUAGCCAAGGAGAGCUUCUCUAGGGCUCGCCCCCUACAAGUCUCCCCUCCUAGGGAUUUUAUGUUCAAGGCUUGCACCAUCGUGCUCCGCGAAUCAUUAAGAAAUUUGUAGCAAGAUUUCAAUGCUGGAGAAAUUAUGCACGGUUGUCCCACCAAAGGUGUGACUCACGUGCAGGGGCAAACCCAAGUACGACCUACUGGUGGAGGGCAGAGACAUCCUCUAAAAUAGAGGUGGAUUCCCCCCAAGCAGUAAUGAAUGUGUAUGAAGAAGAGCACACAGCGGGAAGUCGGCCCAAUAUUGCCAUCCCUGAAGGCGGCCAGAUGAGUCAGACAGGAAGCAAAAGGGACUGAAAGGGUAUUCUUGUUUCUCUAUACACAUGCGGGGAAUGCGAUCGGAAGGGAGAAAGUCAUCCCAAACUCCACAAGCCGCUGCAUAUAGAACAAGCCUUCCUUCUUUGGCGAAGGAAAUGUUAUACGGUCAUAAGUCUAGACUUGCUCUGAAAAGAAGUUGGAAAGACCAAAGAGGGGAACCCUUUCCCAAUCACUGAGGA